rnacentral:rRNA from 1 species
AGUGAACGCUGGCGGCGUGCCUAACACAUGCAAGUCGAACGAGUGGCGCCCGGGUGAGUAAAGUAUAGCUAAGCUAACCUACACUAGAGGACAACAGUUGGAACAGGCUGCUAAUUCUCUACAGUGUAGGCUGAGGCUAUAUUGUAUCAGCUAGUUGGUGGGGUUAUGGCUGACCCAGGCUAUGACGCCUAACUGUCCUGAGAGGAUGAUCAGUCACACUUGAAGGGCGGCACGGUCCAGAGUCAUACGGGAGGCAGCAGAAGGGUGUAUUAGUCAAUGGGGGAGUCCGUGAAGCGGCAUCGCCGCGUGGGGGAUGACACUUUUCGGGGCGUGAAUUCCUUUUGUUAGGAAAGCGUUACCUAACGAAUAAGCACCGGCUAACUCCGUGCCAGCAGCCGCGGUAAUAC